AUUGAACGCUGGCGGCAUGCCUUACACAUGCAAGUCGAACGGUAACAGGCCGCAAGGUGCUGACGAGUGGCGAACGGGUGAGUAAUGCAUCGGAACGUGCCCAGUCGUGGGGGAUAACGCAGCGAAAGCUGUGCUAAUACCGCAUACGAUCUGUGGAUGAAAGCGGGGGACCUUCGGGCCUCGCGCGAUUGGAGCGGCCGAUGUCAGAUUAGGUAGUUGGUGGGGUAAAGGCUCACCAAGCCAACGAUCUGUAGCUGGUCUGAGAGGACGACCAGCCACACUGGGACUGAGACACGGCCCAGACUCCUACGGGAGGCAGCAGUGGGGAAUUUUGGACAAUGGGCGCAAGCCUGAUCCAGCAAUGCCGCGUGCAGGAAGAAGGCCUUCGGGUUGUAAACUGCUUUUGUACGGAGCGAAAAGGCUCUCUCUAAUACAGGGGGUUGAUGACGGUACCGUAAGAAUAAGCACCGGCUAACUACGUGCCAGCAGCCGCAGAAACAC
rnacentral:rRNA from 1 species